AUUGAACGCUGGCGGCAGGCCUAACACAUGCAAGUCGAACGAGUGGCGGACGGGUGAGUAAUGUCUGGUAAACUGCCCGAUGGAGGGGGAUAACUACUGGAAACGGUAGCUAAUACCGCAUACCAUCGGAUGUGCCCAGAUGGGAUUAGCUCGGAGGUGGGGGAACGGCUCACCUAGGCGACGAUCCCUCGCUGGUCUGAGAGGAUGACCAGCCACAAUGGAACUGAUACACGGGCCAGAAUCCUAUGGGAGGCAGCAGUGGGGAAUAUUGCGCAAUGGGCGCAAGCCUGAUGCAGCCAUGCCGCGUGUAUGAAGAAGGCCUUCGGGUUGGAAAGUACUGUCAGCGAGGAGGCGUUACUCGCAGAAGAAGCACCGGCUAACUCCGUGCCAGCAGCCGCGGUAAUUC
rnacentral:rRNA from 1 species